GACAGAUCGCUAUUUGAAUUUCCUGAGUGAGCCGCUGCCUGACGUUGAGCUGUUGCGCACUACAGAGGGCGGUGCUGCCUGCCCCCGUCUCCGUCUUAGAUCGUGAUCAGAGCAGCCCAGCUUUUUUGUUUUUUGUCAUCAUCCCUGCACCCUGAUUUGGAAUGCCGUGGAAACGCCACAUAGGAGAAAAAGACAAUAGAUUUUGGCGUUUUAAGCUCUAAACAAAAAACUGCGACUCCUUCACAAUGUCAGAUUACCUUGUGGGAGUAGCUGGACCAAACUCUAUUGGUAUUUCAAGUUUGAAAUCCCUGUUUGACCAGACAAACAUUUCAGAUGAGGUAAUAGAUGGCCUAAUCUAUUUGCAGUGUGAGAAAAGCAUCUUUCAGAUGUAUGAGAAAUUGAUUGGAGCCUGUCUGGAAAACGGCAGCCACUGGACCUUGUUUGGUCGCGGGGGGCGCUGGAGCCUAUCCCAGCUGUCAUGGGGCGAGAGGCGGGGUACACCCUGGACAGGUCGCCAGUCUGUCGCAGGGCCAACACACAAGGACAGACAACCAUUCACACUCACAUUCGCUCGCACAUUCACACCUAGUGGCAAUUUGGUUUAUCCAAUUAACCUAUCCCCACAAGUUGCAUGUCUUUGGACGGUGGGAGGAAGCCGGAGUACCCGGAGAGAACCCACGCAAACACGGGGAGAACAUGCAAACUCCACACAGAAAGACCCCGGCCUGAUGUUGGAAUUGAACUCAGGACCUUCUUGCUGUGCGGCAACAGUGCUAACCACCGUGCCACCGUGCUGCCCCCACCAACCGCAUAUUUAACAUAACAUAUUUAAUUUAAUUGAAAUCAUUACCGAACGUGGUUAUUGAUUUCUCUAUAUGCUUUUUAUUUGUAAUAACUGCGAUCUCUCAG
ensembl:lncRNA